CAGGUACAUCCAAAUGUCCCAUGUAUGCUGUUCACUCCAAUCUGCCCAUACUCGCUGUCAUUUAAACCUGUCAUCCUUCCUGAUUCCGCACGGCUUGAACUAAACAUCCCGGAUGACGGGAGAAGCAAUGUGUGGGUGUCCUUCGACGGCAAAAGGCAGCAGCAGCUGUUGCGAGGAGACUCUCUUCAUAUAUCCAUGAGCGAGCACCCGCUCCCGACAGUCAACAAAUCGGACCAAACCGGCAACUGGUUCCGCAGCUUGAUCAGGUGCCUGAACUGGAAUGAGAGGCUGGACGAGAAGGCGCUCUAG
rnacentral:rRNA from 1 species